UGCAGUCGAGGGGUAUAGUUCUUCGGAACUAGAGACCGGCGCACGGGUGCGUAACGCGUAUGCAAUCUACCUUUUACAGAGGGAUAGCCCAGAGAAAUUUGGAUUAAUACCUCAUAGUAUAUAGCCCUGGCAUCAGGAUUAUAUUAAAGUCACAACGGUAAAAGAUGAGCAUGCGUCCCAUUAGCUAGUUGGUAAGGUAACGGCUUACCAAGGCUACGAUGGGUAGGGGUCCUGAGAGGGAGAUCCCCCACACUGGUACUGAGACACGGACCAGACUCCUACGGGAGGCAGCAGUGAGGAAUAUUGGACAAUGGGCGCAAGCCUGAUCCAGCCAUGCCGCGUGCAGGAUGACGGUCCUAUGGAUUGUAAACUGCUUUUAUACGAGAAGAAACACUCCUUCGUGAAGGAGCUUGACGGUAUCGUAAGAAUAAGGAUCGGCUAACUCCGUGCCAGCAGCCGCGGUAAUACGGAGGAUCCAAGCGUUAUCCGGAAUCAUUGGGUUUAAAGGGUCCGUAGGCGGUUUAAUAAGUCAGUGGUGAAAGCCCAUCGCUCAACGGUGGAACGGCCAUUGAUACUGUUAGACUUGAAUUAUUAGGAAGUAACUAGAAUAUGUAGUGUAGCGGUGAAAUGCUUAGAGAUUACAUGGAAUACCAAUUGCGAAGGCAGGUUACUACUAAUUGAUUGACGCUGAUGGACGAAAGCGUGGGUAGCGAACAGGAUUAGAUACCCUGGUAGUCCACGCCGUAAACGAUGGAUACUAGCUGUUGGAAGCAAUUUCAGUGGCUAAACGAAAGUGAUAAGUAUCCCACCUGGGGAGUACGUUCGCAAGAAUGAAACUCAAAGGAAUUGACGGGGGCCC
rnacentral:rRNA from 1 species